UCAGGCGUACCUAGACACGUGGCCGACCCUGACCCCAUGCCGAACUCAGAAGUGAAACGCCGUAGCGCCGAUGGUAGUGUGGGGUCUCCCCAUGUGAGAGUAGGGAACUGCCAGGC
rnacentral:rRNA from 1 species